GUGAGGAAUAUUGGUCAAUGGGCGAGAGCCUGAACCAGCCAAGUCGCGUGAAGGAUGAAGGUUUUAUGAAUUGUAAACUUCUUUUGCAGGGGAAUAAAGUACGGUACGUGUACCGUUUUGUAUGUACUCUGCGAAUAAGGAUCGGCUAACUCCGUGCCAGCAGCCGCGGUAAUACGGAGGAUCCAAGCGUUAUCCGGAUUUAUUGGGUUUAAAGGGUGCGCAGGCGGGUUGAUAAGUCAGCGGUGAAAGUUUGCAGCUUAACUGUAAAAUUGCAGUUGAAACUGUCGAUCUUGAGUGCAAAUGAGGUAAGCGGAAUGUGUUGUGUAGCGGUGAAAUGCUUAGAUAUAACACAGAACACCGAUUGCGAAGGCAGCUUACUGGGAUGCAACUGACGCUCAUGCACGAAAGCGUGGGGAUCAAACAGGAUUAGAAACCCGAGUAGUCC
rnacentral:rRNA from 1 species